rnacentral:rRNA from 1 species
CCUACGGGGGGCAGCAGUGGGGAAUAUUGGACAAUGGGGGCAACCCUGAUCCAGCGACGCCGCGUGAGGGAAGAAGGAUCUCGGGAUGUAAAGCUCUAUUAGCAGGGAAGAAAGAAAUGACGGUACCUGAGUAAGAAGCCCCGGCUAACUACGUGCCAGCAGCCGCGGUAAUACGUAGGGGGCAAGCGUUAUCCGGAUUUAAUGGGUGUAAAGGGAGCUUAGGCGGCAGAGCAAGUCUGGAGUGAAAGGCGGGGGCCCAACCCCCGGACUGCUUUUGAAACUGUGUAGCUAGAGUGCUGGAGAGGUAAGCGGAAUGCGUGGUGUAGCGGUGAAAUGCGUAGAUAUUAGGAGGAACACCAGUGGCGAAGGCGGCUUACUGGACAGUAACUGACGCUGAGGCACGAAAGCGUGGGGAGCAAACAGGAUUAGAUACCCCUGUAGUC